rnacentral:rRNA from 1 species
AGAGUUUGAUCCUGGCUCAGGAUGAACGCUAGCGGCAGGCCUAACACAUGCAAGUCGAGGGGCAGCACGUCUUCGGAUGGUGGCGACCGGCGCACGGGUGCGUAACGCGUAUGCAACCUACCUUACACUGGGGUAUAGCCCGGAGAAAUUCGGAUUAAUCCCCCAUGGUACUUUUGAAUGGCAUCAUUUAGAAGUUAAAGUAUUACGGUGUAAGAUGGGCAUGCGUCCUAUUAGCUAGAUGGUAAGGUAACGGCUUACCAUGGCUACGAUAGGUAGGGGGCCUGAGAGGGUGGUCCCCCACACUGGUACUGAGACACGGACCAGACUCCUACGGGAGGCAGCAGUGAGGAAUAUUGGUCAAUGGGCGCAAGCCUGAACCAGCCAUGCCGCGUGCAGGAAGAAUGCCCUAUGGGUUGUAAACUGCUUUUAUUUAAGAAUAAACCUUUCUACGUGUAGAAAGCUGAAGGUACUGAAUGAAUAAGCACCGGCUAACUCCGUGCCAGCAGCCGCGGUAAUACGGAGGGUGCAAGCGUUAUCCGGAAUCAUUGGGUUUAAAGGGUCCGCAGGCGGAUGUAUAAGUCAGUGGUGAAAUCCUAUCG